AUGUAUGGCUCGUCCGACAUCGCCUUUGCAUCAUAUGACGAGCACUGGCGCCAGGCAAGGAAGCUCGUAACCACUCACAUGUUGAGUGUAAGAAAGGUGCAAUCUUCUCGCAACGCCACCACGGAGGAGGUGAACAUGGUGAUGACCAAGAUUAACGAGGCCGCUGCUGGAGGUGCUGCAAUGGACAUGAGUAGGUUUCUGAAGUCACUCAUGUAUGACAUGGCAUGUCGGAUUGUGUUGGGAGAGUCCUUCCGGAAAGAAGGACAGAGCAAGCUACUUCGAGACCUCAUAGACGAUACCUCACGAAUACUAGGAGGUUUCCACUUGGAGGUAUACUUCCCAACAUUGGCUAGAGUUGGAGUGCUUCAGAGGGUGGUUUGUGCAAAGGCUAAGAGCGUGAGGCGUAGAUGGGCCUAUUUGCUGGCUAAGUUGAUCGAUGAACGUGUGAGCAUGGACAAGUCAACAGUUGAUAACAAGGAUGGGGAUUUCAUAGAUAUUUUGUUGUCUUUUCAGCUUGAGUAUGGUCUCACAAGAGAGCGAAUGAAAGCUCUCCUGACAGAUGUAUUUUCCGGUUCAACAGACACGUUAUCUAACACUCUCGAAUUCACCUUGGCCAAGUUGAUGAGGAGGCCAUGCCUAUUGGGGAAGCUACAAGAUGAAGUGAGGAGUAUCGUACCCCGGGGACAAGAAUGUAUAACCGAAACCGACAUAAACAAGAUGGCGUACUUAAGGCAGUCAUGA
rnacentral:rRNA from 1 species